rnacentral:rRNA from 1 species
UACGUAGGGGGCAAGCGUUGGUCCGGAUUUAUUGGGCGUAAAGAGCGUGUAGGCGGUUUGGUAGGUCCGCUGUGAAAACUCGAGGCUCAACCUCGAGACGCCGGUGGAAACCAUCAGGCUAGAGUCCGGAAGAGGAGAGUGGAAUUCCUGGUGUAGCGGUGAAAUGCGCAGAUAUCAGGAAGAACACCCGUGGCUAAGGCGGCUCUCUAGUACGGUACUGACGCUGAGACGCGAAAAGCGUGGGGGAGCGAACAGG